rnacentral:lncRNA from 1 species
AGUCUACCAUCUUAACCCAGAAAACCAUUUAGAUCUACUUUUGCUCCUUUUUUAAAAAUGAAUGAAGUAGAAGUUUCAGGAUACUGAGAUAAAGACCAAAGCGUUCUUCUGUCUCCUUUAUUUUCUCUCCAUGACAAUGUGAAACCAUAUUUAGAUCAAACAAGUGUUCAUUUAAGCCCUGUGCUUUUGAGAAAAAUAGUUUUGAAAGUUUGAGCAAUCUGAGCAAACUUGGCCCUUGGAGCUGACCCAAAGGAGUUUUCUACAAACCAUGACCAAACUUUGUGGACACAGAGGCUGGUUGCUUAAAGAACAGACCUCUCCUAGGUCAGAAAUGAUAGGUUCCACUGAGAGCAAAUUCAAACAACACUGUUUCAUUUGAAGGAAUUUCAAUAUCUAGGUUUUUCUCUAAUAAAUACAUUAAACAACAAGCUUAAUUUUUCUUGUGUUACUUAUUACACAAUUACAGAUGUUACUUACUGAAAUAUGGAUAAAUUGUCUUUUAGGAAAUGUUGACUGAGGACUAAGUAUGAAGUACAAUAAAUAGAAAGUCAGAAAAUACUAAUCCCAUUCAUUUCCUAUUUAAAAAUGAGAAAAAUGAAUUAUUAAUUGUAUUGUAAGAGUUAUGGAUACUUCAGGACUAUAAACUGGGAAUUUUGCCAAGUGUUGCUCAGACCAACCUUGAUUAACAUUCAUUCACCAUUCAUUCAUUUAUUCAUUCAUUCACUCAAACAUGUUUCUUGAUCCCCCAUAUAUGCAAGGCUCUGAACUAGUUACUGGACCUCUACCCGUGAACAAGGCAGACCCUGCCUUCUUGGAACUUGUGCUCUGGCAGAACGGACAAGCAUGAAACAAGUAAUUGCAACAUGAUUUACUGUGGUAAGAAUAUAAGAGAGGAGUGCUUGCCUUAAUCUCAGGUGUAAUGUUUGAGUUGAGAUCUGAGAGAGGAGUAGAUGUUAAUUAGGCAAAGAGCAGGCAUAGAAUAGGGGGCCUGGAAAUCUACCAGAUCUAAGUCACAGAACAGUCAGUGUAAAUACCCAGAGACAUUCCUUGAGACACAGAGGGGCACAGACACAGCAAGAGAACUGGGCAGGAGGCAAAGUCCACAUCAUGAUUAGCUGUAAUGCUUCCUCAGGAAGACAAGAACUCCUCACAGCAGAAACACAGGGCAGAGAAAUUUUUCUGCCCAACAGUUUGAACGGUCACCCUGCUUCAACAUGACAAAACAAGCCAACGAAAAUAUUUUACUCAGGACAAGUUUUCAAAAAGCAUAAAUGCAUUUUUUAAUGGUUUAGACUUUUAUUUGAAUACAAAAUGAAGUCUCUUACUGGUGAAUAAGAACAGCAUCUAUUAAGAGUACCCAAAUACCAUCUAUUAUGUUAUUUGCUAAUGUAUUUAUACCACUCCCGCAAGCUGGUGUUUCUGUUUUGUUUUGUUUUAAUCACAAUUCAGUGUUAAAAAGAUAAAGCUUUUUAAACAUUCACUGUUGCUCAAAAGCUGAGUGCAUGUGCUGUCUCAGAUCAUGAGGUUAGUGGUGCUUAUUUCAAUAUUAAAUAAAAGGAUUCAUUUUCAUUGAAGCAAGCAGGGAAUUAAGCUUACAACUUCAAUUACCAAUAAUUAAUUCUCCACACUGCAAGCCAUGCAGUUUGCGUUUAAACUCCCAAUGCCCCAAGGAUAACAAAAAUCUAUUUUGAUCACUUUUUAUUUUCAUCAUUUAAAGAGUACAUCUUAUUUUAAUUAGGCACAUACAUUUCCAGAUUAUAAGAGAGAACAAAUAUCCCUUCUAAAAAAAAAAACAGGGAAUUGUGGGGAGUGGGGGACAGAGGACUUUUAAGCAUGACAAAGAAAUUUCUGAGAUAUUUUCUUUCUCUUGCUUUUAUUGAAAGAGCACCUAAUAUUGUCGAGAAUUAGCUACCUCAUAUCCAUGAAGCUAUUAUUUACAGGCAGAUGAAUAAUUUCUCUAAAUUCAUUUUUCCUUAUGCAUUAAGCUAUUCUUUGCUGGCUUUUCAUUAUUUAAGAGAAAGAAAGCAAUUGAGCACAUGAUUUUAAAUGAGGCAAAAUUAAGUCCUGCUCCAAAGCCAACCCCACCAACUCUGGAAGCAGGCAUAAGGAUGAGAAGGACUCUUCAGAGAGGGAGGCUUGACCUAGUGGUGGGUAAGGGAGACUGAGCUCAUCAGGAUCUUCCUUAUUCUUUUGACAAAUUCUGAGCAACAGAAAGGAACCGCCAGGGUGUCACCAAAGCAAAGACACAAUCAGAGCUGGAGUUCUUAGAGAUAAAAAGUGAUGCUUGGAAUUAGGUUUCAUCAGAAAGAGGCAGACCUGUGUGGCAUCCAGAAAAUAAGUUCUAAGAAGACUCUUCUUUCAAGUUUUAAAGACAUUAGGUUUCUUCCAGCCUGUAAGUGCUAACUUUGCCCCAAAUAAAUCUCAUAAUUCAUAAUACAAUUGACCAUGUUACAGUAAAAUCUCAUUUAAGUGGAACUUAAUUAAAUGAAACCAUAAAUUAACUAGAAUUAGCUUCUAUACUUGGCUUUCAGGAAAAAUAGGGGAAUCAUAAAAAAAAUGCAGUAUAAGUCAUUUAAUAAAAAGUAAUAGUUACAAAGGCAAGUUCUAAGGUCAGUGCACCUUCAUCCCAGUCUUCAACCCACAGCUGAACAAUGUCCAAACAUAUCCAGAAUCUUGAUCUUAGUACCCUACAAGAUCUUUAAUAUAGGCAAUAAUAUACUUUCUUUGUUUGUUUGUUUUUGAUGUUUUUUUGAGAUGGAGUCUCCCUCUGUUCCCCAGGCUGGAAUGCAGUGGUGCGAUCUCAGCUAACUGGAGCCUCUGCCUUUUGGGUUCAAGCGAUUCUUGUGCCUCAGCCUCCUGAGAGCUGGGAUUACAGGCCUGUGCCCUGGCUAAUUUUUGUAUUUUUAGUAGAAACGGGGUUUCACCAUAUUGGCCAGGCUGGUCUCAAACUCCUAGCUUCACGUGAGCCACCCGCUUCAG